GACGAACGCUGGCGGCGUGCCUAACACAUGCAAGUCGAGCGAAGUGAUUUUGAAUGAAGCCUUCGGGCAGAAUUCAAAAUUAUCUUAGCGGCGGACGGGUGAGUAACGCGUGAGGAACCUGCCUUUCACAAAGGGAUAGCCUCGGGAAACCGGGAUUAAUACCUUAUGAUACUAAUUUACCGCAUGGUGAAUUAGUUAAAGCGCAAAGCGGUGAAAGAUGGCCUCGCGUCCCAUUAGUUAGUUGGUGAGGUAACGGCUCACCAAGACCGCGAUGGGUAGCCGGCCUGAGAGGGUGAACGGCCACACUGGAACUGAGACACGGUCCAG
rnacentral:rRNA from 1 species